rnacentral:rRNA from 1 species
GACGAACGCUGGCGGCGUGCUUAACACAUGCAAGUCGAACGGAAAGGCCCUGCUUUUGUGGGGUGCUCGAGUGGCGAACGGGUGAGUAACACGUGAGUAACCUGCCCUUGACUUUGGGAUAACUUCAGGAAACUGGGGCUAAUACCGGAUAGGAGCUCCUGCUGCAUGGUGGGGGUUGGAAAUUUUCGGCGGUUGGGGCUGGACGCGCGGCUUAUCAGCUUGUUGGUGGGGUCGUGGCUUACCAAGGCUUUGACGGGUAGCCGGCCUGAGAGGGUGACCGGCCACAUUGGGACUGAGAUACGGCCCAGACUCCUACGGGAGGCAGCAGUGGGGAAUAUUGCACAAUGGGCGGAAGCCUGAUGCAGCAACGCCGCGUGCGGGAUGACGGCCUUCGGGUUGUAAACCGCUUUCGCCUGUGACGAAGCGUGAGUGACGGUAAUGGGUAAAGAAGCACCGGCUAACUACGUG